rnacentral:lncRNA from 1 species
CUUCCUAGAAGAUCACAACUGCCUCGAAAAGUUAGAAAUAAAAGAAAGCCCAAGUUUAAAAUUGCUACAGUUGCAUUCCUGCACGGCACUGGAAGAGUUGGCGGUUCAUGAUUGUGAAUCGCUCCCCGCACUAGAGGGGAAUUUCACCUGCCUCAAGAGAUUAGAGCUGUCGUACAACUCAGGGUUGGAAUCGCUACAGCUGCGUUCCUGCACAACGCUGGAAGAGUUGACGGUUGAGUCUUGUGAAUCGCUCGCCACAUUAGAGGGGAAUUUCACCUGCCUCAAGAGAUUAGAGCUGUCGUACAACUCAUGGUUGGAAUCGCUACAGCUGCGUUCCUGCACAACGCUGGAAGAGUUGACGGUUGAGUCUUGUGAAUCGCUCGCCACAUUAGAGGGGAAUUUCACCUGCCUCCAAAAAUUAGAUCUGUUUGACAACCCAAGGCUAAAAUCACUACAGCUGCGUUCCUGCACAGCGCUGGAAGAGUUGACGGUUCGGUCUUGUGAAUCGCUCGCUGCACUAGAGGACUUUUGGUCCCUCAGAUGUCUCAGGUAUU